CUUGGUUGGCUCAGUCAGUAGAGCAUGUGAUUUCUUGAUUUGGGGAUUAUAAAUUAAAGGCCCAUCUUAGGCAC
rnacentral:tRNA from 1 species